rnacentral:rRNA from 1 species
CAGAGUGAACGCUGGCGGCGUGCUUAACACAUGCAAGUCGAACGAGAACGGAUUAAAGCUUGCUUUAAUUGUCAGCUAAGUGGCGCACGGGUGAGUAAUAUAUAGGUAACAUGCCUUCGAGAAGGGGAUAACGUUUGGAAACGAACGCUAAUACCCUAUAUGCCUUUAAGACUAAAGUCUGCAAGGGAAAUAUUUAUAGCUCGAAGAUUGGCCUGUACAGUAUCAGUUAGUUGGUGAGGUAAUGGCUCACCAAGACAAUGACGCUUAACUGGUUUGAGAGGAUGAUCAGUCACACUGGAACUGAGACACGGUCCAGACUCCUACGGGAGGCAGCAGUGGGGAAUAUUGCACAAUGGACGAAAGUCUGAUGCAGCAACGCCGCGUGGAGGAUGACACAUUUCGGUGCGUAAACUCCUUUUAUAUAGGAAGAUAAUGACGGUACUAUAUGAAUAAGCACCGGCUAACUCCGUGCCAGCAGCCGCGGUAAUACGGAGGGUGCAAGCGUUACUCGGAAUCACUGGGCGUAAAGAGAAUGUAGGCGGAUAAAUAAGUUUGAAGUGAAAUCCAAUGGCUCAACCAUUGAACUGCUUUGAAAACUGUUGAUCUAGAAUAUGGGAGAGGUAGAUGGAAUUUCUGGUGUAGGGGUAAAAUCCGUAGAGAUCAGAAGGAAUACCGAUUGCGAAGGCGAUCUACUGGAACAUUAUUGACGCUGAGAUUCGAAAGCGUGGGGAGCAAACAGGAUUAGAUACCCUGGUAGUCCACGCCCUAAACGAUGCACACUAGUUGUUGUGAGGCUAGACCUUGCAGUAAUGCAGUUAACACAUUAAG